UACGUAGGGUGCGAGCGUUAAUCGGAAUUACUGGGCGUAAAGCGUGCGCAGGCGGUUCGUUAAGUUCGUUGUGAAAGCCCCGGGCUCAACCUGGGAACUGCAAUGGAAACUGGCGGGCUUGAAUGCGGCAGAGGGGGGUGGAAUUCCGCGUGUAGCAGUGAAAUGCGUAGAGAUGCGGAGGAACACCGAUGGCGAAGGCAGCCCCCUGGGCUGACACUGACGCUCAGGCACGAAAGCGUGGGGAGCAAACAGG
rnacentral:rRNA from 1 species